rnacentral:rRNA from 1 species
CUACGGGCGGCUGCAGGCGCGAAACCUAUACAAUGCACGCAAGUGUGAUAGGGGAACCCCAAGUGCUCAUACUUUGUAUGGGCUUUUGCCAAGGGUAAGGACCUUGGCGAAUAAGUGGUGGGUAAGACUGGUGCCAGCCGCCGCGGUAACACCAGCGCCACAAGUGGGAGCCGAUUUUAUUGGGCCUAAAGCGUCCGUAGGUUGGAAAAUAAAUCUUUUGUGAAAUCGUUAAGCGUAACUUAACGGCGUGCAAGAGACACUGUUUUUCUUGGAACCGGGAGGGGUCAGAAGUAUUUUGGGGGGAGUGGUAAAAUACUUUAAUCCCUGAAAGACUACCUGUGGCGAAGGCGUCUGACUAGAACGGAUUCGACAGUGAGGGACGAAGGCUAGGGGAGCAAACCGGAUUAGAUACCCCAGUAGUC